rnacentral:rRNA from 1 species
AAAGAACCCACCAGGGAUUGCCUCAGUAACGGCGAGUGAAGCGGCAAAAGCUCAAAUUUGAAAUCUGGCUCCCUUUGGGGGCCCGAGUUGUAAUUUGCAGAGGAUGCUUCGGGUGCGGCCGCGGCGUAAGUCCCUUGGAACAGGGCGUCAUAGAGGGUGAGAAUCCCGUCUUGAGCCGCUGGUCCCGCGCCCGUGUGAAGCUCCUUCGACGAGUCGAGUUGUUUGGGAAUGCAGCUCUAAGUGGGUGGUAAAUUUCAUCUAAAGCUAAAUACUGGUCGGAGACCGAUAGCGCACAAGUAGAGUGAUCGAAAGGUUAAAAGCACCUUGAAAAGGGAGUUAAACAGCACGUGAAAUUGUUGAAAGGGAAGCGCUUGCGGCCAGACUCGGGGGCGGGGGUUCAGAGAGCUCUCGUAGCUCGCGCACUCUCCCGUUUCCCGGGCCAGCAUCAGUUUCGGCGGUCGGUCAAAGGCUCCGGGAAUGUGUCGUCUCUAGGGACGUCUUAUAGCCCGGGGUGCAAUGCGGCCUGCUGGGACUGAGGAACGCGCUUCGGCUCGGAUGCUGGCAU